GACGAACGCUGGCGGCGUGCUUAACACAUGCAAGUCGUACGGUAAGGCCCUUUCGGGGGUGCACGAGUGGCGAACGGGUGAGUAACACGUGAGUAACCUGCCCACCACUUUGGGAUAACGCUGGGAACCUGGUGCUAAUACUGGUUAUGUGCUCCUGCUGCAUGGUGGGGGUUGGAAAGCUCGGGCGGUUGUGUGUGGACUCGCGGCCUGUCAUCUUGUUGGUGGGGGAGUGGCCUACCAAGGCGGCGACGGGGAGCCGGCCCGAGAGGGUGACCGGACACAGUGGGACUGAGAAACGGCCCAGGCAGCGAGGGGUGGCAGAAGGGGGGAAUAAUGCACAAGGGGCGCAAGCCCGAUGCAGCAGCGGCGCGGGGGGGAGGAAGGCCUUCGGGUUGGAGAACGCGUUCAGCAGGGACGAAGCUUUUUGUGACGGUACCUGCAGAAGAAGCACCGGCUAACUACGUG
rnacentral:rRNA from 1 species